AUUGAACGCUGGCGGCAGGCCUAACACAUGCAAGUCGAACGGUAACAGGAAGCAGCUUGCUGCUUUUCUGUCGAGUGUCGGACGGUUGAGUAUUGUCUGGGAAACUUCCCGAUGGCGGGGGAUAACUACUUGAAACGGUUACUAAUACCGCAUUACUUCGCAAGACCAAAGAGGGGGUCCUUAUGGCCUCUUGCCAUCGUAUGUGCCAAGAUGGGAUUCGGUAGUAGGGGGGGUAGCGGCUCACCUAGGCGACGAUCCGUAUCUGGUAUGAGAGGAUGACCAGAUAGACUGGAAGAGAGAAAGGGUAGAGACAGCGGCAGGAGGAAGCAGUGGGAAAUAUUGCACGAUGGAGGAAAGCGUGAUGCAGGAAAGCCGCGUGUAUGAAGAAGGACUUCGGGUUGUAAAGUAAUUUAAGCGGGGAGGAAGGGAGUAAAGUUAAUAGCUUAGGACAAUGACGUUAGCCGGAGAAGAAGCACCGGCUAACUCCGUG
rnacentral:rRNA from 1 species